rnacentral:lncRNA from 1 species
GGUGAGCGGGAUCGACCCGUCUGAUACCAACUUGAGAAUUAAACUGUAAAAUAAUUCUAGAGGGCUUGAUUGAUCCCUCUCAUAAUCUUCUAUUUAUAAUAAUAAAUUGAUACAAGAGUACAUGAUAAUUAGAGUAACCUAGACACAAUAUAAUCAUGAUAAUUAGAGUAACCUAGACACAAUAUAAUCAUGAUAAUUAGAGUAAUUCUAGACACAAUAUAAUCAUGAUAAAUAGGAUAAAUAUCCUA